GUCUAGCCCCGAUGGAAGCGGCAUCCUUUUUUGGCGCGAGCGAAGCGAGCACCAAAAAAGAUAUAGCGGACAGCGGGAUCAGCU
rnacentral:sRNA from 1 species